UAGGGAAUCUUCCGCAAUGGACGAAAGUCUGACGGAGCAACGCCGCGUGAGUGAUGAAGGUUUUCGGUUCGUAAAACUCUGUUGUCAGGGAAGAACAAGUAUCGGAGUAACUGCCGGUACCUUUACGGUACCUAACCAGAAAGCCACGGCUAACUACGUGCCAGCAGCCGCGGUAAUACGUAGGUGGCAAGCGUUGUCCGGAAUUAUUGGGCGUAAAGCGCGCGCAGGUGGUUCUUUAAGUCUGAUGUGAAAGCCCACGGCUCAACCGUGGAGGGUCAUUGGAAACUGGGGAACUUGAGUGCAGAAGAGGAAAGUGGAAUUCCAAGUGUGGCGGUGAAAUGCGUAGAGAUUUGGAGGAACAACAGUGGCGAAGGCGACUUUCUGGUCUGUAACUGACACUGAGGCGCGAAAGCGUGGGGAGCGAACAGG
rnacentral:rRNA from 1 species